rnacentral:rRNA from 1 species
CAGUCGCCGCGGUAAUACGAACCGUGCAAACGUUACUCGGAAUCACUGGGCUUAAAGCGCACGUAGGCGGCGACAUAAGUUAGAGGUGAAAUCCCAUCGGCUCAACCGUGGAACUGCCUCUAAUACUGUGUUGCUUGAGGGAGUACGGGGCAUUCGGAACUUCCGGUGGAGCGGUGAAAUGUGUUGAUAUCGGAAGGAACGCCGGUGGCGAAAGCGGAAUGCUGGGUCUCUUCUGACGCUGAGGUGCGAAAGCUAGGGUAGCGAACGGGAUUAGAUACCCCCGUAGUCCCUGUCUCUUAUA